rnacentral:rRNA from 1 species
UCGGGAAUUUUGGGCAAUGGGCGAAAGCCUGACCCAGCAACGCCGCGUGAAGGAUGAAGUAUUUCGGUAUGUAAACUUCGAAAGAAUAGGAAGAAUAAAUGACGGUACUAUUUAUAAGGUCCGGCUAACUACGUGCCAGCAGCCGCGGUAAUACGUAGGGACCAAGCGUUGUUCGGAUUUACUGGGCGUAAAGGGCUCGUAGGUGGCCAACUAAGUCAGACGUGAAAUCCCUCGGCUUAACCGGGGAACUGCGUCUGAUACUGGAUGGCUUGAGUUUGGGAGAGGGACGCGGAAUUCCAGGUGUAGCGGUGAAAUGCGUAGAUAUCGUGAGGAAGACCGGUGGCGAAAGCGAGUCUCUGGGCAGUUCCUGACGCUGAGGCACGAAGGCUAGGGGAGCAAACGGGAUUAGAUACCCUAGUAGUCCCUGAGCGGGCUGGCAAGGCGCAU